ensembl:lncRNA
GGGACCCAAAAGGGACCCGGUGACCCAAAACGGACCUCGGGGCACCCAAAAGGGGACCCAAAAGGGGACACAAAAGGGACCCGGUGACCACCCAGGGGACCCAAAAUGGACCUGAGGGACUCAAAAAGGACCCAAAAGGGACCCAGAGACCACCCAGAGGACCCAAAAUGGACCUGAGGGACCCAAAAGGGGACCCAAAAGGGACCCGGUGACCACUGGGGGCCCCAAAAGGGACCUGAGUGACCCAAAAUGGACCUGGGGGCACCCAAAAGAGACCCAAAAGGGACCCGGAGACCACCCAGAGCACCCAAAAUGGACCUGAGGGACCCAAAAGGGACCCGGUGACCACCGGGGCCACCCAGGGGUCCCCGUCCUGCCCCCCCCCGCCCUCACCCUGUGCACCCAGGGGGGCAUGGCGUGGGUGGCGGGCGAGCGGUGGUGCAGGUUGAGGACGCCGACGCUGAGGAUGACGCAGAGCGUGAGCAGCACCAGGGUGCCCGUCAGGUAGCGCCCGAUGAGCGGCACGGCCAGCGAGGUGGCCGGCACUUUGUCGGCCAGCAGCAGCAGGAACACCGUCAGCGUCAGCAGCGCGAACAGCGACAGCGUCAUCUUCUCCCCUGCGGCGCGCGUGCGCGACUGUGUGAUGCACCGCAGCGUGCGGCGCUCCCGUGCAAUGCUCCCGUGCAAUGCUCCCGUGCAAUGCUCUCGUGCACUGUAUCGUGUGGUGCUCCUGUGCAAUGCUCCCAUGCAAUGUUCCCAUAAGGUGCUCCCGUGCAAUGCAGCGUGCAAUGCAGCGUGUGGUGCUCCUGUGCAAUGCUCCCAUGCAGUGCUCCCAUGCGGUGCUCCCGUGCAAUGCUCCCAUGCAAUGCUCUCAUGCACUGCAUCAUGUGGUGCAGUGUGCAGUGCUCCCGUGCAGUGCUCCCGUGCAGUGCUCCCGUGCAAUGCUCCUGUGCACCGCAUCGCAUGGUGCGGCGUGCGGUGCUCCCGUGCAAUGCAUCGUGCGGUGCUCCCAUGCAAUGCUCCUGUGCAAUGCAACGUGUGGUGCUCCCAUGCAAUGCUCUUAUGCACUGCAUCGUGUGGUGCGGCGUGCAGUGCUCCCGUGCAAUGCUCCCAUGCAAUGCUCCCGUGCAAUGAUCCCGUGCAAUGCUCCCGUGCAAUGCUCCCGUGCACUGUAUCGUGUGGUGCUCCUGUGCAAUGCAUCGUGUGGUGCUCCUGUGCAGUGCUCCCGUGCAAUGCUCUCGUGCACUGCAUUGAGUGGUGCGGCGUGCGGUGCUCCCGUGCAAUGCAGCGUGCAACACGGCACGCAACGCACUGUGCAUUGUGCAAAGCAUCGUGUAAUGCAUCCUGCAAUGCCCCCGUGCAACACAUCUUGCGACGCCCGUGUGCAACGCACAGUGCAAUGCCCUUGUGCAAGGUGCUGUGCAACACCCCCACGUGCCCCCCGUGCAAGCUCUGACACAAACCACGCAAAGUCCACGUGCAAAUGCUUCGGCUGUGCAACACCCCCCCACCCCCAAACCCUGCUGUGAAUCUGCAACGCCCUGGUGCAAACCCCUCGUGCGACCACACACACACACACACCCCCGGCCCUUGCACGAGCCCCCCCCCCCCUCGUGCAACGCACCGGCGUCGGGGGGCAGGUAGAAGGCGCCGACGGCGAGCAGCGUGAUGAGCACGCAGGGCACGAGGACGUUGACGAUGUAGAAGAGCGGCUUGCGGCGGAUCACCAGGUAGAAGGUGACGUCCUCGUGCGAGCCGGCGGCGUGGUGGCGGCCGUGCCGGUGGCACAGCUCCCACUGCCCGUUCUCUGCACGGCGCCGCCAAGCGUGAGGCCCCGUGCAAAGCCCCCCG